UUCGCCCUUUUCCGGUUGAUCCUGCCGGACCUGACUGCUAUCGGAUUGAUACUAAGCCAUGCGAGUCAUUGUAGCAAUACAAGGCAGACGGCUCAGUAACGCGUAGUCAACCUAACCUAUGGACGGGAAUAACCUCGGGAAACUGAGAAUAAUGCCCGAUAGAACACUAUACCUGGAAUGGUUUGUGUUCCAAAUGAUUUAUCGCCGUAGGAUGGGACUGCGGCCUAUCAGUUUGUUGGUGAGGUAAUGGCCCACCAAGACUAUUACAGGUACGGGCUCUGAGAGGAGUAGCCCGGAGAUGGGUACUGAGACACGGACCCAGGCCCUAUGGGGCGCAGCAGGCGAGAAAACUUUGCAAUGUGCGAAAGCACGACAAGGUUAAUCCGAGUGAUUUGUGCUAAACGAAUCUUUUGUUAGUCCUAGAACCACUAACGAAUAAGGGGUGGGCAAGUUCUGGUGUCAGCCGCCGCGGUAAAACCAGCACCUCAAGUGGUCAGGAUGAUUAUUGGGCCUAAAGCAUCCGUAGCCGGCUCUGUAAGUUUUCGGUUAAAUCUGUACGCUUAACGUACAGGCUGCCGGGAAUACUGCAGAGCUAGGGAGUGGGAGAGGUAGACGGUACUCGGUAGGAAGGGGUAAAAUCCCUUGAUCUAUUGAUGACCACCUGUGGCGAAGGCGGUCUACCAGAACACGUCCGACGGUGAGGGAUGAAAGCUGGGGGAGCAAACCGGAUUAGAUACCCGGGUAGUCCCAGCUGUAAACUAUGCAAACUCAGUGAUGCAUUGACUUGUGGUCAAUGCAGUGCUGCAGGGA
rnacentral:rRNA from 1 species